GGUCUUUUAGUUUAAUAAAAAAUUUUAAAUUGCAAAUUUAAAGAUACUUAAGUCAAGACUU
rnacentral:tRNA from 1 species